rnacentral:tRNA from 1 species
GGAUUGUGGCUAAGCGGUAGAGCGCUUGCCUAGCAUAAGCGGGACCCGAGUUCGAUCCUCAGCACCA